rnacentral:rRNA from 1 species
UUGACCUCAAAUCAGGUAGGACUACCCGCUGAACUUAAGCAUAUCAAUAAGCGGAGGAAAAGAAACUAACAAGGAUUCCCCUAGUAACUGCGAGUGAAGCGGGAAAAGCUCAAAUUUAAAAUCUGGCGGUCUUGCGGCCGUCCGAGUUGUAAUCUGGAGAAGCGUUUAUCCGCGUCGGACCGUGUACAAGUCUUCUGGAAGGGAGCGUCGUAGAGGGUGAGAAUCCCGUCUUUGACACGGACAACCGGUGCUUUUGUGAUGC